ACCGGGCGUGGCGGUGCACGCCUGUAAUCCCAGCUACUUGGAGGUGAGGCACGAGAAUCGCUUGAACCCAGGAGGUGGGGGCUGCAGUGAGCCCAGAUUGCACCACUGCACUCUACCCUGGGUGACAGAGCAAGACUCUGUCUAAA
rnacentral:SRP_RNA from 1 species